rnacentral:rRNA from 1 species
GAUGAACGCUGGCGGCGUGCCUAAUACAUGCAAGUCGAGCGAACGGACGAGAAGCUUGCUUCUCUGAUGUUAGCGGCGGACGGGUGAGUAACACGUGGAUAACCUACCUAUAAGACUGGGAUAACUUCGGGAAACCGGAGCUAAUCCCGGAUAAUAUUUUGAACCGCAUGGUUCAAAAGUGAAAGACGGUCUUGCUGUCACUUAUAGAUGGAUCCGCGCUGCAUUAGCUAGUUGGGAAGGUAACGGCUUACCAAGGCAACGCUGCAUAGCCGACCUGAGAGGGUGAUCGGCCACACUGGAACGGAGACACGGUCCAGACUCCUACGGGAGGCAGCAGUAGGGAAUCUUCCGCAGUGGGCGAAAGCCUGACGGAGCAACGCCGCGUGAGUGAUGAAGGUCUUCGGAUCGUAAAACUCUGUUAUUAGGGAAGAACAUAUGUGGAAGUAACUGUGCACAUCGUGACGGUACCUAAUCAGAAAGCCACGGCUAACUACGUG